AGGGAUGGAGGCCUUCGGGUUGUGAACCUCUUUCGCCAGUGAAGCAGGCCUGCCUCGUUUGUGGGUGGGUUGACGGUAGCUGGAUAAGAAGCGCCGGCUAACUACGUGCCAGCAGCCGCGGUAAUACGUAGGGCGCGAGCGUUGUCCGGAAUUAUUGGGCGUAAAGAGCUCGUAGGCGGCUGGUCGCGUCUGUCGUGAAAUCCUCUGGCUUAACUGGGGGCUUGCGGUGGGUACGGGCCGGCUUGAGUGCGGUAGGGGAGACUGGAACUCCUGGUGUAGCGGUGGAAUGCGCAGAUAUCAGGAAGAACACCGGUGGCGAAGGCGGGUCUCUGGGCCGUUACUGACGCUGAGGAGCGAAAGCGUGGGGAGCGAACAGGAUUAGAUACCCUGGUAGUCCACGCCGUAAACGUUGGGCACUAGGUGUGGGGGGCCUUUUCCGGGUCUUCCGCGCCGUAGCUAACGCAUUAAGUGCCCCGCCUGG
rnacentral:rRNA from 1 species